UAGCUAGCCCUUUAGCUUCUCACAUCUCCAGUAUGGCUAAACACAGCAAGCUAGCUAGCCUUUUAGCUUCCCAGAUCUAUGAGAAAUAGUCAGAUUAAUAAUUAAAUAUGCCCUGUCAAAUAUUCUAAUACUUGCCCGUGUAAACUACAACAUUAUUCCAGUUUAAACACACCAGCUAGCAAUAGAAGGCAUGCACGCCCACACCAGCUAGCAAUAGAAGGCAUGCACGCCCACACCAGCUAGCAAUAGAAGGUAUGCACUCCCACACCAGCUAGCAAUAGAAGGCAUGCACGCCCACACCAGCUAGCAAUAGAAGGCAUGCACGCCCACACCAGCUAGCAAUAGAAGGCAUGCACUCCCACACCAGCUAGCAAUAGAAGGCAUGCACUCCCACACCAGCUAGCAAUAGAAGGCAUGCACGCCCACACCAGCUAGCAAUAGAAGGCAUGCACGCCCACACCAGCUAGCAAUAGAAGGCAUGCACGCCCACACCAGCUAGCAAUAGAAGGUAUGCACGCCCACAUCAGCUAGCAAUAGAAGGUAUGCACGCCCACACCAGCUAGCAAUAGAAGGCAUGCACGCCCACACCAGCUAGCAAUAGAAGGUAUGCACGCCCACAUCAGCUAGCAAUAGAAGGCAUGCACGCCCACACCAGCUAGCAAUAGAAGGCAUGCACGCCCACACCAGCUAGCAAUAGAAGGCAUGCACGCCCACACCAGCUAGCAAUAGAAGGCAUGCACGCCCACACCAGCUAGCAAUAGAAGGUAUGCACGCCCACAUCAGCUAGCAAUAGAAGGUAUGCACGCCCACAUCAGCAAGCAAUAGAAGGUAUGCACGCCCACAUCAGCUAGCAAUAGAAGGCAUGCACUCCACAUCAGCUAGCAAUAGAAGGCAUGCACGCCCACAUCAGCUAGCAAUAGAAGGCAUGCACGCCCACAUCAGCUAGCAAUAGAAGGCAUGCACGCCAACAUCAGCUAGCAAUAGAAGGUAUGCACGCCCACAUCCGGCUGCCGGGGGGGGAACGACGCGGUGCGUUCCGGCUGCCGGGGAGCCGCUACUUUUGUGAGGAAAAACACAGUGCUGCUCUGUAGGGUGAUUCUUCAUAGGGAAUAAAAUCUGACUUUACAGUUUGAUACGUCGGCCGGGAUUAGAUGAACCGAAGGUUUGACA